AACGAACGUUAGCGGCGCGCCUAACACAUGCAAGUCGAACGCGACUGGGGGCAACUCCAGUUGAGUGGCGCACGGGUGAGUAACACGUAGGUAAUCUCCCCUCGAGUGGUGGAUAACCUUCCGAAAGGAGGGCUAAUACAGCAUAAGACCACGGCCUCGAAAGAGGUUGAGAUCAAAGCGGAGGAUCGCAAGACUUCGCGCUUGAGGAUGAGCCUGCGGCCCAUCAGGUAGUUGGCGGAGUAACAGCCCACCAAGCCUAAGACGGGUAGCUGGUCUGAGGGGAUGAUCAGCCACACUGGAACUGAGACACGGUCCAGACUCCUACGGGAGGCAGCAGUGGGGAAUCUUGCGCAAUGGACGAAAGUCGGACGCAGCGACGCCGCGUGGGUGAUGAAGGCCUUCGGGUUGUAAAGCCCUGUGGGGAGGGACGAAUAAGUUGCAGCUAAUACCUGCAGCGAUGACGGUACCUCCUUAGCAAGCACCGGCUAACUCUGUGCCAGCAGCCGCGGUAA
rnacentral:rRNA from 1 species